rnacentral:rRNA from 1 species
UUCGGGAAUGAGUAAAGUGGCGAACGGGUGAGGAAUGCGCAAAAAUCUACCUCUGGGUGGAGGAUACCCCUGGGAAACUAGGGUUAAUCCUGCAUAAGUUCGCAAGAAGAAAGGUGGCAUUUGCUAUCGCCGAGAGAUGAGUUUGCGUCCUAUUAGCUAGUUGGUAGGGUAAAGGCCUACCAAGGCAAUGAUGGGUAUCCGGCCUGAGAGGGUGAUCGGACACACUGGGACUGAGAUACGGCCCAGACUCC